rnacentral:rRNA from 1 species
AGAGUUUGAUCCUGGCUCAGGAUGAACGCUAGCGGCAGGCCUAACACAUGCAAGUCGAGGGGUAACAGGUAGGAAGUUUACUUUCUAUGCUGACGACCGGCGCACGGGUGAGUAACGCGUAUGCAAUCUACCCUUAACUGGGGAAUAGCCCGAAGAAAUUCGGAUUAAUGCCCCAUAACACUAUGGUAUCGCAUGAUACUAUAUUUAAAACUCCGGUGGUUAAGGAUGAGCAUGCGUGACAUUAGUUAGUUGGUGAGGUAACGGCUCACCAAGACUGCGAUGUCUAGGGGGCCUGAGAGGGUAGUCCCCCACACUGGUACUGAGACACGGACCAGACUCCUACGGGAGGCAGCAGUGAGGAAUAUUGGUCAAUGGGCGCAAGCCUGAACCAGCCAUGCCGCGUGCAGGAAAACGGCUCUAUGAGUUGUAAACUGCUUUUAUACGGGAAUAACCAUAGCUACGUGUAGUUAUCUGAAUGUACCGUACGAAUAAGCAUCGGCUAACUCCGUGCCAGCAGCCGCGGUAAUACGGAGGAUGCAAGCGUUAUCCGGAUUUAUUGGGUUUAAAGGGUGCGUAGGCGGGAAAAUAAGUCAGUGGUGAAAUCCUGCAGCUUAACUGUAGAACUGCCAUUGAUACUGUUUUUCUUGAGUAUAGUUGAGGUAGGCGGAAUGUGUAAUGUAGCGGUGAAAUGCUUAGAUAUUACACAGAACACCGAUUGCGUAGGCAGCUUACUAAACUAUUACUGACGCUCAGGCACGAAAGCGUGGGUAGCGAACAGUAUUAGAUACCCUGGUAGUCCGCGCCGUAAACGAUGAUCACUAGCUGUUGGCAACACAUAGUCAGUGGCAAAGCGAAAGCAUUAAGUGAUCCACCUGGGGAGUACGCUCGCAAGAGUGAAACUCAAAGGAAUUGACGGGGGCCCGCACAAGCGGUGGAACAUGUGGUUUAAUUCGAUGAUACGCGAGGAACCUUACCUGGGCUUAAAUGCAUAACGACGUAGUGGGAAACCAUUGCUCCCUUCGGGGCGUUUUGCAAGGUGCUGCAUGGUUGUCGUCAGCUCGUGCCGUGAGGUGUCGGGUUAAGUCCCAUAACGAGCGCAACCCCUAUCGUUAGUUGCUAGCAGGUAAUGCUGAGGACUCUAGCGAAACUGCCGGUGUAAACCGAGAGGAAGGUGGGGAUGACGUCAAAUCAGCACGGCCCUUAUGUCCAGGGCUACACACGUGUUACAAUGGUCGGUACAGAGGGCAGCUACCUGGUGACAGGAUGCUAAUCUCGAAAGCCGGUCACAGUUCGGAUUGAAGUCUGCAACUCGACUUCAUGAAGCUGGAAUCGCUAGUAAUCGCGUAUCAGCAAUGACGCGGUGAAUACGUUCCCGGGCCUUGUAC